rnacentral:rRNA from 1 species
ACAAUGGAGAGUUUGAUCCUGGCUCAGGAUGAACGCUAGCGGCAGGCUUAAUACAUGCAAGUCGAGGGGUAACAUGGGUAGCAAUACCUGAUGACGACCGGCAAACGGGUGCGGAAC